rnacentral:lncRNA from 1 species
GUUAACCACAUUGAAACAAGAUUAAUUUGCCUCAUUUCAAUUUAAACCCAUUCUUUGGCUUCUGUUCUUGGCUAACCUAUUAAGCAAAUCAGCUAGGUUUCUCCUUUUCUUCGACCCUUGUGGCUUUGAGCUAUCCUCCAUUACCGUCAAACAAGGCUCCGACGAGUUUGACUUCAGAGCUACCACCACACUCAAUCUCUCUAACGGCACGUGAGAUCCAAUUAGGUGUGGAAAAUUCAACUUUGCUUUACAUUCAUUCACAAUCCGUGCCUACAUCCAGUCCCCAAGCAACCAACGGUUCUUGAUAUUUUUUUCAACCUUGUAAAAUCCUUUACAAGUCAAAGAUCCACAAGGGAUGUACCCUCCCUUGUUCUCUUUGAACAACCAAGUGGAUGUACACUCUACUUGAACUGAUCCACAAGAGAUGUAUCCUCUCUUGUUCUCAAUAUAACAACCCAAGUAGAUGUACCUUCUACUUGUGUUACAAAGGAUGUACCCUCCAAUGUGUUAAGACAAAGAAUUCUCAGACGGUUAGUUCUUUGAAUCUUUGUAAGGGGAAACAAAAGAUAUCUCAGGCGGUUAGUCCUUUAAAAUCUUUUAUUUAAGGGGAAGGAAAGAAUCAAAAGAAUUCUUAGGCGGUUAGUCCUUUGAAUUCUCUUUGAAGAGAGAAGGAAGACACAAAAGAAUUCAGGCGGUUAGUCCUUCUAUUCUUUUGGCAAAGGGAUAAGGGAUGAAGAAGAAGAGUAGCAUAAGUUUUUUAUCAAUGAACUUUCUUGAAGGAGAAAGUAUUAAACAAAAACUCUUAGAAAGAUGAAAAGAAAUGAAUCAGAAAGUUCUAUAAAAACGUUAUUGAAAUUCAUGCCAUGGUCACAUAUUUAUAAUCAUUUGAUGACUCAAGUUAAAGUUUGUGACUCUUGGCAAUUUCUUUAAGACUAGC